GUGGUCACUUUGGCAGCACAAAUACUAAAUUUGGAAUGUACAGAGAUUAGCAUGGCCCCUGUGCAAGGAUGACACACAAAUUUCUGAAGCAUUCCAUAAUUUU
ensembl:snRNA U6 U6 spliceosomal RNA